rnacentral:rRNA from 1 species
UGAGGAAUAUUGGUCAAUGGAGGCAACUCUGAACCAGCCAUCCCGCGUGCAGGAUGACGGCCCUAUGGGUUGUAAACUGCUUUUAUUUGGGACGAAAAUUAGGUAUUUAUACUUAACUGACGGUACCUUAUGAAUAAGCACCGGCUAACUCCGUG